rnacentral:rRNA from 2 species
UGGUUGGGGUAAACGGCUCACCAUGGCAUUGAUACGUAGCCGACCUGAGAGGGUAAUCGGCCACAUUGGGACUGAGACACGGCCCAAACUCCUACGGGAGGCAGCAGUAGGGAAUCUUCCACAAUGGACGAAAGUCUGAUGGAGCAACGCCGCGUGAGUGAAGAAGGGUUUCGGCUCGUAAAACUCUGUUGUUAAAGAAGAACAUAUCUGAGAGUAACUGUUCAGGUAUUGACGGUAUUUAACCAGAAAGCCACGGCUAACUACGUGCCAGCAGCCGCGGUAAUACGUAGGUGGCAAGCGUUGUCCGGAUUUAUUGGGCGUAAAGCGAGCGCAGGCGGUUUUUUAAGUCUGAUGUGAAAGCCUUCGGCUCAACCGAAGAAGUGCAUCGGAAACUGGGAAACUUGAGUGCAGAAGAGGACAGUGGAACUCCAUGUGUAGCGGUGAAAUGCGUAGAUAUAUGGAAGAACACCAGUGGCGAAGGCGGCUGUCUGGUCUGUAACUGACGCUGAGGCUCGAAAGUAUGGGUAGCAAACAGGAUUAGAUACCCUGGUAGUCCAUACCGUAAACGAUGAAUGCUAAGUGUUGGAGGGUUUCCGCCCUUCAGUGCUGCAGCUAACGCAUUAAGCAUUCCGCCUGGGGAGUACGGCCGCAAGGCUGAAACUCAAAGGAAUUGACGGGGGCCCGCACAAGCGGUGGAGCAUGUGGUUUAAUUCGAAGCUACGCGAAGAACCUUACCAGGUCUUGACAUACUAUGCAAAUCUAAGAGAUUAGACGUUCCCUUCGGGGACAUGGAUACAGGUGGUGCAUGGUUGUCGUCAGCUCGUGUCGUGAGAUGUUGGGUUAAGUCCCGCAACGAGCGCAACCCUUAUUAUCAGUUGCCAGCAUUAAGUUGGGCACUCUGGUGAGACUGCCGGUGACAAACCGGAGGAAGGUGGGGGAUUGAACGUC